GGGGAAGGAAGGGAGUCGACUAUUCUCCUUUGCGAAGAUCCUGCAGCCGCCAGUAGAAGCAAUCUGGCCUCCUGGAACUCCAGGAUAUAAUUGACACGUCCACCUCCCGAGCCGCCACCACUCUCCUUCCUCAAGCCAGCCGGCGUUGUGAGCCCCACCCCCACCCCCUCUCUCCGGGGUCCGGAAAGCCGGGAAGUGCUGGAAUGCCGUGUUCUCUCACCCUAUUGUGCCUAGGUGUUGCAAACCACUGGAGGACAGAGCUUCGCGCUUUGAUCUCAUAUCCCAGUCAUUCUUUAGCACAGAGGGCUCAUUUGGCUUCAUUCUGGGCUAUCCUAAUACGUUUAGAGCAUGCGUGCUACUCUGCAUUAUGAAGAACCUACAUUUACCUAGCUUCCAAGAAAAAAAGGUUAUGCUGAUGUUUGUUGGUCAACAUCUCCACCUUCUUUCUAAUAUUAAUGUGGUAAAAAAAGGAGAGACAAUUGGAUACUCACUGAAAAAUAGAAGAAAUUGUGAAGAAACAGGGAAAACAAAUUACCUUAAUCCUGCUUCUCAGACACAACAAUUGUGUUGUUACUUAACAAUCUUUUUUCUGUGUGAUUUUUUUUUACGCAUAUGUACAAGAUUGUAA
rnacentral:lncRNA from 1 species